rnacentral:rRNA from 1 species
UACGGAGGGUGCAAGCGUUGUUCGGAAUCAUUGGGCGUAAAGGGCGUGUAGGCGGUCAGGUAAGUCAGAUGUGAAAGCCCUGGGCUCAACCCAGGAAGUGCAUUUGAAACUCCCUGACUUGAGUACGGGAGAGGACGGGGGAAUUCCCGGUGUAGAGGUGAAAUUCGUAGAUAUCGGGAGGAAUACCGGUGGCGAAGGCGCCCGUCUGGAUCGAUACUGACGCUGAGACGCGAAAGCGUGGGGAGCAAACAGG